rnacentral:misc_RNA from 1 species
GAUGAAGAACGUAGCGAAAUGCGAUACUUGGUGUGAAUUGCAGAAUCCCGUGAACCAUCGAGUCUUUGAACGCAAGUUGCGCCCGAAGCCAUCAGGUUGAGGACACGUCUGCCUGGGCGUCACAUAUCGUUGCCCAAUGCCUAUUGCAGUGCAAUAGGAAUUUCUAGGGCGAAUGAUGGCUUCCCGUGAGCGUUGUUGCCUCGCGGUUGGUUGAAAAUCGAGUCCUUGGUAGGGUGUGCCAUGGUAGAUGGUGGUCGAGUUAGAACGAUACCGAUCAUGUGCAUGCUCCCCAAAAUAUGGCCUCUAUGACCCACACGCGUCUUUUGACGCUCAUGACGAGACCUCAGGUCAGGCGGGGCUACCCGCUGAAUUUAAGCAUAUCAAUAACGGAGGA